AUUAAGUAUAUUUGGGGUUACCAAAGAGUAUGGUAAGAACCUCAUCUUAAAUUAUACUUGAGUUCUUACAAAGAUGCAUAGGUAUAAAAUAUUUAUUAUUUUUUGUCUUUUGGUGUAUUUUUGUCAAUGAGUUAAAACCCAAAGAACAGUACAUCGAUCAGAAGUAAUAAGUUUGACUAGUGUAAUUUGAGAGAGAACACUCUGGAACACAAAAAAUAUCCUACCUCAUAAAAAUUUAACACGACAUCUUAUUUUCACCUUUUUUCAUUGAAGCAGCACACAGUGUAGUCAAGAAUGUAUGCAUGUCCUUGAACUUCUAGAAAUACAAUACCUAAUAGUUAAAACAGUCUGGUAUAAUGGUCAACAAGAGCUACAUAAAAAAAAGGAAGAUACCAAAGUUAAAUUAAAAAAAUAUGUAUUUAAUUUUUGAAAUUUACCUCAAAGGAAAGAAAAUAAAGUUUAAUUGAUUUUUUUCUUAUAUGUGUAAUGUUGUAUAUGUAUUUUUAUUUCAUUUCAGAGUUCAACAACAGAUUAUUAAUUCUAUUAUUUUGUUUUUCGCAGAUUGCAGCAGUGGGAUGUUACAGUCAUAGACGUUGGAUAGACUCCGUUGUACUAGGCCAGGGAGGGUAGCGCAGAGUUUCCGCAGCACUAUACAAUAGUAACAAGAUCACUCUACCAUGAGCUUGUUAAAGGGCCCGUUUGAUGAAAGUGACAACAACGUUCUCCACGACACUACAGAUUUGUUUUUGCAGAUGCAGCCGAGAGGAUGUUUCAGUCAUGGACUCAUUUGAUGGAAGUGACACCAACAUUCUCAAACACUAAUAAUUUACAAAUUUGUUUUUGUUGUAGAUGCAACCUCAGUCAUACACCCUAGAGUUUGGCUAUGUUGUGACAGAAGAAGAGUGGCAUGUAGAUUUCUUUUAUGGAAGUGCAAAUAACUAAUCUUUCUUCUUCAUAUCUAUUUCAGAGUUCUUACGAAGAUGUAUAGGUAUGCAGUAUUUAUUAUUUUUGUCUCUGUGUAUUUUUGUCAAUGAGGUAAAACCACAGAACAAAUCAAUCAGAAGUAUUAACUGGUGUAAUUUGAGAACACCCUGGAACACGAGAAAUAUCCUACCUCACAAAAUUUAACA